rnacentral:lncRNA from 1 species
UCUUUCAUAUAUGAUUACAAUGUAUUUAGAAUAGUGGAUCCUUAUGACUAUUCAAACACAGGUAAAUAUAAUUGUUAGCAUAGGUAAUAGUAAAUACUAGGUAUAGGUGAUUAGGUACCUUUUUUGCUAAAAUCUAGGCAAUUUUUGGUAUUAACUUUAAAAUAAUGUUAUGUUUUAGUGAUAAGUAGGGCUCGGAACGUAUAGGACUUUUUUGAUUUUUUAAAGUGGUUUUUUGUGGAUUUUAAAUAAAAUAAAUCCUAAGCCCUAAUGAUAGGUGAUAACAUGUUAAUAUAGUAUUAACGUUGUGGUUCAAUAGAUUAAAUUAAACACAUUAAUACAUCAAUAAUUUGUUUUUAUGUAUAAACAAUUCUAAAUAGUAUUUUAUAAUAAUAAAUAAUAUUAAUAUUUGUAUUUUGCUUUUAUAUUUAAACAAAGAUAUGAUCAAAAAUCAAUCUUCGAGUAUUGAUUUCCAGACUUAGGCCCAUUUUACCAACGUAAACGUUGAUUUUAAACUGAGUUUAUAAAAUAAUCGACCAAUCGUGAUCGGUUAUCAGCUAUAAACUCAGUUUAAGAAUCAAAUAAACGUCAUUUUUUACGUUGAUGAGAACGGCCUUUAGUGUACUUUCUUUGCUUGUAUUAUAUAGUAACUUAUUACUUGUAUUUUUUAAAGUUGAGUAGAUAUCCUUUUGAUCAAUUCUAAAUUUGAUUUAGAUAUAUUAAAUCUAUUGAUUCAACUGGAUCAAGGAUCUUCAAUCUUUUUAAGCAGCAGUUCAUUUAUUUUUUAAAACAAUUAUUACAAGCCGCAUUUAUAAUAAAAAAAUGUAUUUCAUACAUUCAUACAUUCAUACAUAUACAUACAGAAAUUUAGUUCUAGAUUCAAAACGUAUCAAAAAAUAUGGUUAUUGAUUUUACUACAAUGUUUUUUUUAAACAUUUUUUUUUUUGUCUGUAAAGAACAUUUGAUCAGAAUACUUUCUAAAAUCAAAAAAUUACAAAAUACCUUUAUGUGAUCUAUUUGGCGCUUUAGAAAUAUAGUUGUUUAAUAUUCCAAGGAGUUUUUAAAAUAAUUUGAAAAAACCAAAAACAAAAUUAUAAGAAAAACAGAUUAAUAUUUACAGAGUUCCGCGGCGUUACUAAUUUCGGUUGUAAUCCAAUGUUACAUGUAACUUACUAUUAAAAUCGACCUACAAGAUGAAUCGCGUGAUAUAGUAUGUGACCUCUCUAAUUAUUAAAAUAUAGAUUGAAGUGCUUAAAGAUAUUUUUCAAAUAUUGGUAAAAGCUUAUUAAAAGCAAACGUUCAUCACACAACACGCAAAACAAACUGAAAACAGAUGUCUGAUGAUUGACAACUUAGCUGCCUAAACAAUGUUAACCAACUUUAUCUUUUUAAAUAUUCCACAAUUAAAAAAUCUCUAACGUGUAUACAAUGACUCAUAAGUAUUGUGAUCAGAUAUAAAAAUCCUAAAAUCCAUAAUAUUUUCAAAAAAAUAGUACGAUUUCAUGUACUUAACUCUAUUGCUGAGGACACAGGACAGUGCAUCAAAAAAGACUACUGUUCUACGAAACGUACUCUUUUUCACAGUCUUUUUCUGGUCACCGUAUCCACAUGUAAUUUUAUGAAAUCAUAAUUACUAUAAGAGUCCUUAUUUAUAAAAUACCUAUCAUCUAAUUAAUAUAACUUUAUCUUUAACCGUUAAAGAAAUAGAAAAACAAUAACAUACGACUAGCGUGCGCAGGUCCUCUUGACAAGGGAAGUAAAUAUAUUUGAAUCAAACCUUACAUAAAAAAUUUCAAUAUUUUUGUACUUAAGUCUCCAUUACAUUGAUUUUAUAUACUUAAUAUUUACUUAAUGAAGAUUUUAUAUGGGAGGGAUUUGACUGAGUUUUUGGGGAGGGAGAUAAUAUCCUCCAAAAACCGCUCCUCUAUUUGCGUCAAUGCACAAAAUCAAAAGAACGUUAGGGUUUAAUAUUUAAAAACAAAUUCAUACCUAACACGUUUUUUUAAUAACACUGUCAGAAAAUUUCAGCUCCCUCUCCUACCUCCACCUGUUCCCACUGGUCACUGUAAGAUACGUACAUUUAUUUUCCCAUUCUUACAGUUACAGGCUUAGGACUGUAAACUUAGAAGUAAAGUAGGUAUGGUUAAAAAUGUGUGUACCGGUCAUCUCUUAAAUAAGAAUAAGAAUAAUAAUUCAAAUUUAAAAUUAUUUUAAGCAUUGAAAUGGAAGCCAACAAGUCAUAAUAAUAAUAAUAAAAUAAUUAUAAUCAUAAUACAUAAGGUGAUGAUUUGAAGUAAACUUUUUUCAAAUUUUGUAACAGUGUAAGUGUCCCAUAACAUAUUCCAUAGUAUGAUAGAAGUUAAAUAAAAGUUUAAAAACGUACUACAUUAUACCUACAUUUAUCGUGUUUAUUAUAUUAUAUUACGGGAACCAAUUUAGCAGUCAGCUCCCAUUUCGCCGCCGUUUCAUUUCGCUGCCGUACCAUUUCGCCGAAUUUAUUUUAUCGCUGUUUCAUUUCGUCAAAUUUAUUUUUUAAGUUACUUAAUAAACUUAAAAGUUACAAAAUAUCAAAGGUGGACGAGUUAAUGAAAAUUAUUAACUGUUGCAAGUUAAUUGAAUUCGUUUAAAUUACCUUCAGUUAAAAGUUAACAAAAAAAAUAUUUAACUCAACAUGUUUACAAUUUAGAUGAAAAAUAAAAUUUAGAAUUCAGGGAACCAAUUCAGCAUAUGGGUUUUGAGCUCGAAGCCCAAUUCGGAUACAUCCAUAUUAUUAUACCACGCACAAUGAUCUGGUGGGUCAUAUUAUUGGAGGUAUGAUGGCAGGUCACAUAUUUGACUACGUCCACGAUUUCAUUAUUUUACAUUUUUUGCUUCGUGUUUUCUACCAGGUAUAAUGCUUCAAUAAUCAAUAAGAAAACGACAAGAGAUGUUUUUUGUUCCAAUUUUAAAUUAGUUGUUGAGUUAAUAAAUUUUUUUUUUGAUUUUCCAAUCAGUUUUCAUUUGAUCAAAACCGAAAAAAAACGUACAAUGAAUGGGAAAAUUUACGACAAAAAUAGUUUCAUUAUUUUAAAUAUUUUUUUUCUUUGUAGAGACUUAAUAGAAAAUUUUUAUUUACAUUUUUUCGUAAAUCUUGUAACCAGUCUAAUUUGAUUUAAAUAGACAGAAUAUAUGCUAUGCUCAAACAUUUUUUCUGGGCCUCUAAUAAUAACAAGAUAAUCGAGUUGAAGAACCCAUUAAAUCUACACUAUUUGUUAGAUACUAAUUCUAGAUUGCAAAUGCACUUUUUUUGUUUCUAUGUCCUUUUCUAUAUUUCCACAUUCUUAUGCAUCAUAAAAUCUCUGGACCAAAUUAUCCAUCAUCUCUUAUUAUAUCCGAUAAACCCCAGUACCCUACUUUUUCUUUACUUAUAUGUUUUUUUAGUUAUUAAUAAUAUUAUUAUUAUUAGGGCCUGUAACUUGAUGACCUAUAAAACAUGAACAAAUGCACGAAAAAAAAUGAAUAAAAUGACAAUGACAUAAAAAUGUUAAAAAAUGACCUAAAAAAAUGACUUGAAAAACUUAUUUAAACUGUACAAAUUAGAGGAAGUUAAAUUACAAACAAUAUACAAGAAAAUACAUAAUAUAAUAAAAUAUUUUUUAUGGAAAUGUUUUCUUAUCAUUAAAUGAAAACACAAAGAAAUUAUUUCUGGUUUGCGAUAAGAUAAUACUAUGAAUCGAUUUGUGUUGGCCGACGCGGCACGGUGGUAGCGUCUCCAUGCUAAAUAUAAACAAAUAUUCCAUUAUUGUAUUCCUUAUUAUCUAUGGGUUAAACAUAUUAUCUUAUCUAUCCAUUCAACAUUUCGGUCGAUUUUAGUUUUAGUUUUUUUUUUUUUUUUUUAAUUUUUAUUUAAAAAAUUAAUAUAAGAUGUUUAUGUAGAACUGUGUGGAGAAUUAUUUUUGUAAGAAUUUUAAUAUCAAAAUUUUAACGAAAAUCGUAAACAUUAAAAUUACAAAACAUAUAUAAUGGAACUCCGCUCAAAAUCGUAUUUCGUUAGCAAAAAAUAAUUGUUGAGUACAGAAUAUUAUUUCUUCACUAUCAAUCUCUGCGGUGUUUUAUCGUUGUCCAACAUCUGUAGAGUAAUACAUUUUCGAUUAGAAUUAUUAUUGAUACCAUGAAACGGAACGUUGCCAAAAAUGUAAAAUAAGAUAAAGGUACCUAGGUAGGUUUAGUUGACAGACUUCUUGUACAGAGUUUCUUAAGCUGCUUCGACACUGUCCAAAAAUAUCAAGUUAAAAUAUGUAUGAAUAUUGAAUGCAGAAUAUUAAUAUAUUUUAGUCGAACAAAUUUACUUAGUGACGAUUGCCGAUUGAAAUUCUAAUAUUGCCGUAUCUCACCUUCCUAUGACCCACCUUCGGUUCGUUUCUGUGUAUCCGUAUCCCACCUUCUCAACUACACACCUACAACAGUGGCUAUACCCGUCCCCAGUAUCAGCUUAUUUUUUUAAUGUUUGCACCGCGUUGUGCCACGAUCAGUUGUAUUUAUAUAAUAAAUCAAUAACUAUAUAUAGUUUCUGCUUGGAAAAUCAAACAAUAACUUGGGUGGUAGCACCCAGAUAAAAUUUCCUUGAAAAUCGGAGCGACAUUUCUGGUAGAAAAAUUACUUACAGAUAAAAAAAAAAAUAAAAAUAAAUUAUUAAACACCAUUAAAAAACCUUCCUCGCUUCACUAAGAAUCUAAAAGGAAAGUUUCUAAAUAAUUGAGUUUACGAUCACAUACUAAAUAAUAUUCGACCUUGUUUCAACCUUUUAGUUUCUGAUUGAUUUUAUAAUGAUGUUUAUUUUCUAUCAAAAAUCUUAUUCCGAUUUACUUUUUCUGACAUGAAAUCAGGCUGCGGAGGUACUUAAAAGAGGUAAUUUUUUGAUUUUCCCAGGAGUUUUUUCAACAAAUGAGAAAAACUGGGAAAAUAGGUACAAUAUUAUUAAAACUAUUAUAACAAAUAUUAUUAAAGAAAAUAUAUGAUAUAUAUGUAAUUGUUUUACCAUUAUACAAGUAUGACAUAUAUAUUGUAAGACAACACUAUCAACCGAACUCUGCUCAGAAUCGUUUUUUCGUAAUCAAUGGUUAAUCGUUGUUUUCAGAUAUACAUAAAAUUACUUCUAACAGUUAGCUGCACGCCUGCUUCUGUCCCCUAGUAUCCUAGGAUAGCUUUUUUAUGUUGCAUUCUAUAGUGGGCAAAUUGUAUUGAUGAACAAAAGUCUGUUUCGUUAUUAUUUUUACUUUUACACUGGUUUAUAUAUUAUAAGCUCAGUAACGGGUAUAAAUUUACUGGUGCGUAAGAUGGGUGCAUAUAAUACCUUUUAUAAUGUACGAAUUUUAGGUUAACAUAUAUCUCAGGUGGCUGAAUAGAUUGAAAGUAGGAUCAACCGACAGAAGUUACUCAAAUUCCCCACGCUACUAGAAAAAAAAUUGUUCUAUUCAGUUGUUAUAAAUUUAUUGAACAUAAAUACUGAUAUUAUAAAUAAUGUUUAUUUUUGUAAAUUAGUUGUCCAACUAUGAAAAAAGCCCGAAAUUAGCCGAAUUUUAUUCAAACAUUCAAUAGUUGGUUUCAUUAACAGUAACAUUCAAUAUAGGUGAUACAAAUGUACAUUGUAAUAUUAUACUCGUAUUAUAUAAUAUAGUAUAAAUAAUAAUAAUUUUAACACGCACCCUGUGGGAGAAGAUCAAUAUAUAUAAAGGAAAAAUACUACCACGGUACCUUUACCUGUCGUAAGAGGCAUGAAAUGUGACGGUGACUGCUGAUGUAAAAUUUUUUCUAACAGUAUAAGGAGUUGUAAACACAAAUUUGGCAGAUUGUCCCAUCUCGGGUAUGCGUGGGGACAACAGGUGAAAGGAGGUAUCAUGAUGCAUGUAUGAUGUUUUGCAGAUGAUUUAGCUUUAAUAGGAAAAAAAUCUGUUAUAAGUUAACAGUAUAGGCUUGAAGAAUAGUGUGUAACACUUAAAGGAAAGGAACUAGGGAUAAAUAGACUUAGAACAAAGUAUGAGUUUGAAGGAACAGAAAAUAUCCUGUCACAGCUAACGACAAUAAGUUAUAAGCAAGUUUAAGAGCUUUAAGUACCUAUAAGAUAUUUUCUACAAAAGAACAAUGGCUUUCAUAAGGAUUACGUGUGAUUGAUUAAGUGGAGAGGAGUAAUCUGUUUAUUUUGAGUAAAGUGGAGUAAUUUUUUUAGGUGUACUUUAAAAUAAUUUCAAAUUAAUCUUAUACAUUUUUAUAUACAUAUACAAAAUUGGAAAAUAAAGUUGGAAAGGUGUCUAUGUUCUAAGAAGUAGGGGCGCCUUUUAGGUAAAUCCAUCACUGAUUUUAAAUGGCUUACUCGACAAUAACAAAAUAUGUAUUCAAUCGGCUAAUGUAGGACGGCUUACUUCACGAACAUGCAAAAUACUACGACAUUGUUGCGUACAGAUAUAAAUUUAAUUACUCUAUAUAUUCUCUCUUCUAACUACCCUCCUGAAAUACAGCGGUACAUCUAUCAGCAGUAUCGACCUUUUAUUUUAUUGGGCAUUUACUUUUUGAAUUUACAAACCUUUUCUACUGUCUGUUUGAAUACUAAGAGGCUUGUUAUUUACACUGUUUUGCAAAUAUACUCACACUAAUUUAUACAUUCAUCGGUUAUCUAGAAAAAUGUGUGUAGCAGUGCUCAGCCUUCACUAGCUGCAGCAUAGUUAACAAAAAUACCGAUAUAUAUUAUUAUGGGCUAUAUUCCUAUAGAUACCGCUGGUUUAAGAUGUAUACAGGGUGUCUUACGAAUACAUACACAUUACAAUAUCUUCUGAAAUAAUAAAGAUAAUCAAAUUCUGUUAUUUUUAUAUUGCUCACAGGGAUAAAGACUACAAAUAUAUACACUUGAGUAAAAUAUUUGUAUUUUAGUAAAAAUAAUAAAAGGUAACUUUUUAUUUUACUAUUUUUAAAAAAUGUAUAGAUUUCAAUUCCAUCUUAUAGAAUUUAUUUUUUUGAAUAGUUUUCUUCAAAUUAUUAAAAAUUACGAAUUUAAUGAAAAUAAAAAGUUUAAACGUCAAUUUUUCCAGAUUAAUAAAUUCUUUAAAAUGGCUACCAUUAAAUUUUCAAAAAUAAUAAAAUAAAAAGUUGUUGUUUUAAGUUUUUUACGAAAACAUAAGAAAAUUAAUUGAAAUAUUAAUAUUUGUAGUCAUUAUUCCUGUGAGUAAUAUAAAAAUAACAGAAUUCGAUUAUCUUUAUUAUAUCUCCGUAAAUAUUACAAUGUGUAUAUCUUCGAAGGACACCUUGUAUAGACUAGAAACAUUGUAAAAUCCGUUUUAUAUUCUGUAGGAGAAAAACAAACAGCGAUAAAAUGGAUAAAAUGCAUUAAAAUAAUAUUAUUAUGGCUAAUAUUAUAUUGUAUUAGUGUGACUUGUGUUUUCGGAACAGAAACACGAAUAAUAGGUAGGUAUAGCAUUAGGUUUAGGCACCUACCGAAGGUAUAUUAUAAUAUAGUAUGUAUAGUACCUAUGUAUAUAUAAUAUUAAUUAAAAUAUUGUAAAUAGGAGUAUAAUUUUACAAAUAAUAUUGGCGUUUAAAAAUCGAAUCAUAUUUUACUGGCAGUCCAAUAUUAAUAUUAUAAUCUAAUCAAAUAAUAAAUACACUAGGAAUCUAAAAUAUAAAUCAUAAAUGCAUUUAAACGCAGAUUGGGAUAAUACGCAGCUCGUAACAAAUUAUUAUUAUAAAUAAUGCUAUAGUAUGUACCGUAUAGUUGUGUGUUUCUAUCGUGUAUGAACGCAACACACGUAUACGUAGUCAGCGUAUAAAAAAAAGUUUUUUUUUUUUUUAAAACAUGAUAAUAUACGGCCGCGAGUCACGGGGAUUACGUCAUCAGGUGACGUCAUUCAUAACACAAACGACUGCCGCCGCCGCAUACGCACGCUGAAAAACACACAUAUAUACAUCACGACACGCAAUAGUAAUUGGGGCGCAUUUAUGGGUGGUAAGCAUAAUACACUAUAUUAUGUUUGUAUGGGCUUGGUUUAGAUGUACGAACGGCUCUUUCUGAACUAUAUACAGGCUGAUUCUUUUAUUAAUCCGAAUUAAAACCUUCCAGGGAGGAAGGGGAAACCCCAACUCGUGUAUUACUCAUUCAACCAUCGAGGUAUGGACGACGUAGAAGUUAGGUUUUUUCGUUACUCUUCCUACUAAAUCCAAUUCCAUCGUGAUUUUUCAUUGACUAGGUUUUAGGUUUACAAUUUUUACCAGUAUGGUAUUUAGAGAGAUGUUAGCCCAACAAGUAGAUUAUGCUUUUCCACUUCCCCCCUCUUACUUUAUCUAAACCCGUCGUGGAUUUCAUCGACAAUCGUAUCUAUAUUUUAUCAAUAAUACAAGUUUAUAUUUUUACGGUGAUAGUGUCACUAGUGUCAUGCAUUUUUAUUUAUAUACCAUUAUCUAUGUUUUCGAAAAUUUUAAAUACGAAUACAUUUGACCAUUGUUUCUUUUUUUAGACAUUACGUACUUUAUUAUUAUUUAUUAUUAUCAUAUAGAACUUUUCGAUGAUAUUUACAAAAUGUACACAAUUUGAAUCUUAUAUAAUUAUUUCUGACUUCAUAUAUCAGCGCUAUUCUUCUUAUUCAGAGGGGGAAGGGAAGGAGAUGUCCAGAACAUGUAUAUUGAAAUUUGUCUCUUAUUUACUCAUUUUUAACAAAUUUAAAGAUGUAAGAUGUAGAUUAUAAUUUAUAAACAUGAUUUAUGAAUAGACAAGGUCUGACGGACAACGAUAUAUUACCUAUAUUAUAAUACUUUUAAUUAACACAAAUUUAAUGUUGUUAUCAAUUAUAUUAUUUAUGGGUGUAACGCAAUGUACUUGAAGUUAAUAUUUCAUAUGAAUAUUAUUUCCAUAAUAUAUUUUAUAUUAUUUCAUCUAUAAUAACAGUGCUGUGGCCAAGGAAUCUAUGGGCUCAAUACUCCCUCCAAAAAAAAAAAAUGUCAAUCAAAAACGACAAUAAUUUGUUCAGAUCCAUUAAAAAUACAAUUUAAUGCCAUAUUUGUCUUAUUUAAUAUAAUGAUACUGUGAGUCUAUCGCCAAAUACCCCGUAUAUUGAGAAUGGCAAAUGGUUAAAGUAGGGGGAAAAGAAGGAAUGGAAUCCAUCUACAUAUGUGUGGUAAACUUAUCAAUUCUCUUUAGUUUAAGUCUUAGAUAUUCGAAGAGCUCUUUGAAGGGACUCUAAUUAUUUCCACAGAGACAUUUUUAAUGAAAUUUAAAAACAUUCAAUGUGAUUAAAAUAAUUUAUUUAAUACCUAUUAUAUAUAUCAGACUCUUUUUACUUUAUUUUUACUAAGCAGGCAUAGGUGUAGAAGAAUAUUUUAAGAAGGAGAGUUUAUUUUUAAACUUUAUUAAUAUGAUAUUUUUAUGAACAAAUAUGUGUGAGAAAAAAACAUUUUGAAAGUCUUGUCUACAUGAUGGAUUACCUAAAAGUUGUGAGAUGUGAACAUGUUGUUAUUAGAUGAAUAAUAUUUCUUUCCCUAACCUAACCUAGUAUAAUAAAAUAUUGUCAACAGUGUGCUGCGAAUUAAAUUCUUUGGCCAUAUAUUGUUUGGCCGUCAAAAACUAUAUGUACAAUUUUAAGGGGCAAAAAUCAAAUUUUUAAAUUUUUUUGCCAUUCACAUUUAAUAAAGUGAUGUAAAUUAUAAAAUAAUAAAAUAUAACCAACUAAAACCCAAAAAGGUCUCCAUAAAUUGCAAAUAACACUUUUAAGACUUUCUUUAAAACCCAUUGAAGUCUGCAAAAAAUACCUAAACAAUUGAGCAUUGAAACAUGAUGACGUAUUAAGCUGACACAGCUAUUAUAGAGCAUGCAUUUACGAUUUUCUACAAAAUUUAGUUUCAAAAUAAUUAUAAAAUGAAUUACUAUAUUUUUUAGAUUCCGAGUGUAGCGAGGUAGCUAUUAAAUUUACAAUGCUGUUUAUUUCUUCUUCUUUUUCUUCUUUGUUCUAGUCUGUGGACACGUUUUUUCCUAGUAAACUUGCUCCGAUUUUUACAUGUAAUAAAUUUUCUAAAAGCUGAACAUGUCUAGAUGGUACCUUAAAAAAGUCAUUUUUGAAGUCAUGAUUUUUGAAGCUGUUUUUUAAAUAAAAGCAUUUAAGUGAGAAAAAACUUUGGAAAACGUACAAUUUAAUUUCACGAUUUCGUUAUUUUAUAAAAACACAGACGACUUUUUUUACCAAAAAAAUGAAAUGAAAAUGAAAAUCACAAAACACUUCUUUUGUUGAUUUACUUUAUCACGGCAUCAUCGCCAAAACUUUGAGCUUUUAAGAAAUUUAAAUUUUUGCGAGUUUUUUGCUGUAAUUCGGUUAUAAAUACAUGUAGAGACUUGAAACUUGAUAAUAAUACUUAUAUUGGAUUUACCUAAAAGUGGUGACAUUUUUAAAAUUAUCAGACAACUUUUUUCCUUUUUUAAUAAGCGUUUUGAAAUCAAAUUUAAACGAAAAUCGGAAAAAAAAUGUACGACACUUCAAAUUAUGUAUUACCAAACUGCGCUCGGAAUCAUCUUUCAUCAAGCAAUAGUUUAUCGUUGCAUACAGAUAUAAAUGAAAUCACCUUAUGUAUCUUACCUUCCCAAUUUCUUACCUACAACAGUAGCCCCUCCCAUCCCCAGUAUCAGCUCUUUUUUCUUUUGAUAUAUUGUUUUGGUUUUCUAUAUUGUUUAAAAAAAAUGCUUUCAUAUUUUUGUUUUGACUUCUGAAAACUGAGUGUAACCUCUAAUGAACCUCCUGUUAAAUUUUCAUGUAUAGAAAAGGCAAAUGUUAUAUGUCGAAAUUUCUCUACGAAGAUUUUUAACUCAAUUAAAAGAAUAAUACAAUUUAAAAUAAUAAAACCAUUAUUUCCUUAAACUCUCCCGUUCUUUCUAAGUUUAUUUUCGGUUCGUCUUAAUUAUAAAAAAACUACAAAGAAAAAAAAUGACUAUCUAAAAUAUCAACAAGAUUAAUAAUUAUGCAACAAAAAAGAUCAUUUGUCGUUUUUUACUAGAGCAAUAUUUCUAGUGGAAAACAUAAUGUGUAAAAAGAUGUCCUAGGAUAAUUGGGACGGAUACAGAAAUUAUUAUAGGUGAUUUAAUUUAUACCUGUACGCAACGAUAAACCAUUGUUUACGAAAACACGAUUCUAAGCGGAAUUCAGUAGAAUUCAGUAGAAUUCAGUAGAUGCUUUGUCAACAAUAUAUAAAUGUCAUAAUAUAGUAAAAUAAUUAAAUAGGCUUUCUAUAUUUUCUUUAUUUAUAUUUGUUUAAUGCUGUACUGAUUAUCCCAGUUUUCUUACGUUUUUCCCAGUUUUCCUACGUUUUUCCCGGUUUUCCAAUGUUUUCUCCCGGUUUCUUCACAUUUGCCUAGAAAACUCUUGGGAAAAUCGAAAAAUGAUCUCCCUAAAGUACCUUCCUAGUCAAAUUUCCUUUUAGAAACAUAUUUAUCAUUAUAAAUUAGAGCAAAAUUUCUGGUAGUAAAGUUUGUGUACAGAAAACAAAAAUCGGAAUAUAUUUCGUACAAUUCCCGUUUUUUUCCGGUUUUUCACAUUUGAUGAGAAAAUUGAAAAAUGACCUCUUUUAAGUACCUCUUCACACCAAUUUCCUUUCGGAAAAGACGCUACUCUUACAAAUCAGAGCAAGUCUUCUGGUAAAAAAGUUGAGUCCAGAAAAAAAACACCUUUGUAAAACCAUAAGCUUCUCGCUCCAAUCAGAAUCUAAAUUGAAAAUAAUAAGAUAGCCAAUACUGAGGCGUACAGUAAAUAUUUGUCCACUUUUCCUGAUUUUCCUCCAAUUAUUAUGAAAACCCCUUGGUAAAUCAAAAAUUACCUCUUCCAUUGCACCAACCAAAUAAAAAUUCCUUUCAGAAUAGGUGUUACACUUGAUACAUAGGAGCAAUGUUAUUGUUUGAAAAGUUACUCACAGACAUAAAAUAAAAUAAAAAAAAACACACAAUGAUUGCUACGUUCCGAAUCUAAAAUAAUUAGGUAUAACAAAAGUUGUACCACAUAUUUGUUUUUAUACAUAAAAAUAGGUAUCUAAUGAAAAUUCAACAAUGAACCGAAAAUAACGAAAUAUUAUGCUAUAUUUUUGAAAUUAUGAGCUUUCGUUUAAUCAAAACUCGAACAUUUUUUUAAUUGUAUUAAAAGAAGGCAAAUAAUCUUAUGUACAUAUACAUAUACUAUAUAUGUUAUAAUAUUUAGAAAAAAACGCCCCUUAAAUAUUCGCACUACACCAUAUACUAUAUGACUAUACUGACUUACUGUUUAGUUAACAUAAUUAUAUGGGUAGCGUUGAACUAGUAUGACGUUAGUUUUCGGUGAUACUAUUCAGACGUUUAUAUUGUUAUAUUAUAUCGACUCAAUCACUCGCAACUAAUUAAAUAGUCUUUUACCAGCUUUACCGUCCCCCCUUCCGCUCGCAUACAUUUGGUUUAAACUUACACUUUUGGUCAUUGUAUAACCUGCAGUAGUCAUGUGUUCAGUAAUCAUUAUUCAUUAAUAAACAUAUUUUGUUUAUUCAAUAAACACUUCGUAAUUUAAAAUAGCAUGUAGGUAUCUAUAAUAGAUAUAGUAUGAUAGCAACCUUUCAAAAAAAUGAUAUAAAAAAUAACAGUUAUUUUAAUUUAUAAUAAUAUGUAUCUAAUACAUUAUAAUUGAUUGGUAUCAGAUAAACAGGAAAUCAAUAGAAGCUCUACUAGUUAAUAGUAGUAAUUAGUUGUAGUAGUAUUAGUAGUAUUAGGCGGACUGCCUAAUACUACCAAUACCUAUGAACUAUAGGUAUCUUUAGGUAGUUAUCUUUGUAAGUACUAAUAUUAUCAUAUUUAUAAGUCACGGGCACCCAUGGACAUGGCAAUGGUUAGGCUCGGAUUAAGGGUUAUGGGAGCUCGGGAACUCAUAUUAGUAAGAGGACCUAUUAAAAUUGUCUAUUGAAUGGAACAAAUAUUAAAAAAAAAAAUAGUCAUCAUUUAAUUUUUAUACCUACUCUUGAAACAAGGUAUUGUUCGUUUAAAUAUAUCUAAUAAGCAAAAAAAAAAAGAUUUUCAAAUAUUUGAUUCAUCUCAUAAUAUGGUAUUUUUGUGAGCUUCGGAAACGUACCCACCCUUCCCUCCCUCUUAAUCUGAGCCUAGUAAUGGUGGUGAUUGGUACAAGAAUUUAAAUAAUAUUAUUAUAGUAAUUAUGUCAAUCAAACAUCAGUACUCAAAUUAGAGGGAAGACGAAAUAAUUAAACAAAUUUUUGAUACAUGUAUUUCAUUAAAAUUUGAGCUUUAAACGUUUAAAAAGAAGAUGUCUAGAUAAAUUUAAUUUUUUUUACCACUAAUUGCAACUCAUAAUAAAUCUUGUGUAAAAUUUUCGAGCAUUUUCACUGAGCCAGAAUGAUUGAAUAAUUAAAUAAUAUCAAUCACAUAAUACCAAAUUGUAUCCUUAAAAUAACAAUAAAUAAUUGAUAAACUGUUAAAUUAUUUUGAAAAUUGUACCAUAAGAAACUAUAUACCUACAUAUAUUAGAUUCAGUGAAAUUCCUGGCCUCUACGAUUAUUUUUCACUGAAUUACAAACAAAAUCGAAUAUAACACAAACUCUUAUUAUAUAAAUAUUUUCGCGAAGUUUUUUUUCGGGUUUUCCUCAUUAUUAAGAAUAUUACUAAGAGACGAUCUGUAAAUCGUUCUACAUGAAGUUACAGAUACGAAUUUGGUUUCGUAAAUUAUAGUCAGUUGCAAGUCUGUAAAUAAUACAGAACGUUCGAGCAACACCCAAUUUGGUUUACAGAUCUAAAAAUGCGUUAAUGGUUUUGUAUGUCCUUACAGAAAUUUUGUGCAACCCGACCUUGUAGCUUAGUAGCUUAGUAGUAUUCUCUGUUUAGGGCGUUAUAGGACAGACUAUAUGGUUCAUUAUGAAAUUAUCGUAAAGACCCAGGGUUUAAAAAGAUAUAAUUAAAAACCCAAAACUGGACAUAAGUUUGCAUUGUCCAUUACAAUUUGUAUAAUUGAAAACUUAUGUUUCUAAUGCUUUAAUUUUUAAAUCUCUAAUUAUCGUAUAAUCUUUUGUCUCAUUUUAUCCUAGUUUGUAUUUCAUUUUACCUUACCGUUAAGGUAAAAUUAGACACUUGACAAAUUCGUUUAAAUCUUUAUUUUAUUCACAUUAAUACAUAUUUGUGUAACUUAUUUACUGAGGUUUUUAAGUGUUUAAUUUUGUUACAUUUAUUAAUAAGAAGACGUCCGCCACUGUCAUAAGUAAUUUAAUAUAUACCUGUAAGCAACGAUAAACCAUUGCUUACGACAAACCGAUACUGAGUGGAGUUCUGUUGACAGCGAUGUUUUGUCAACAAUAUAUGUACAUAUCAUAAUAUACAUGGCAUAUACCAUGUUAUAGUAAAUUAAUUAAAUAGGCUUUAUAUAUAUUCUUUAAUAAUAUUUGUUCAAUGUAGAACCAACAUAUCCAAUUUGUCUACGUUUUCCCGGUUUUCCCAUGUUUUUCUCAGUUUUUCACAUUUGCUCGGAAAACUCAUGAGAAAAUCGAAAAAUGACCUCUUUAAAGCACCUUCCCAGUAAAAUUCUACUCCAGUGAAUUUCCACAGCAGGAAAAAAGAAGACCAUAAUAUUUUUGAAGCUAAUACCUGCAUUUCUUACAUUUUCCCAUUUUUCCAACGUUUUUUUGUUCAUAGAACUGAAAAAAAAUAAACAUCUUUGUAAAACCAUUAGCUUCUUCACUCCACUCAAAAUUUUAAAUUUAUUAUUUUUUAUAUAUAUAGUAAAACGUUAAACCUUAUGUAUCUCAUUUUGUCCCGGUUCCACUAACUUGUUGAAGUAACACAAAUACCUAGUUUUAAAUUCGGAGCGUAAUGAUUAGGUGUCUAUUGUUUUUACUAUUUAGUGUGUUUUUAGAUUUGGAAAGUAGCGAGAAAUUUUUUCUAGUUUGUACAUUGAGGGGUCAUUUUUUAAUUUUUUAGGGGGUUUUAAAAAUAAUUGGCAAAACCCAAUAGAAAAUUAUACGUAAAACGGCUAACAUUUACAAAGCCCCACGGAGUUACCGAUUUCAUUGUUUUUAAAUUUUGCAAAUUAUGUUUUUCAUCAGAAAUAUUGCUCUAAUAAAAAAACAACAAGUUAGAGACAUUUUUUGUUGCAUUUUUAAUUUAAUUGAUAAGUUACCAAAAAUCGUAAUAGUUUGUUUCAAAAACAUAUUUAAAUGUUAACUUUUCUAAAUCCAUUCAAACUUUUUAACUUAAUUUUGCCAAUUUCUUCAGCAUCUUAUAGAAGAUAAUAUUCAAUAAUAUGAGACGUAUAUACAAUAUGCAUGAAUAAUUAACUUUGAGCAAGAUGGAAUCUCUACAUUUACCAUUCUUAAUAUGUAGAAAGAGAUAUUAUAUCCAAUAACAUCCUUGAAGUUGGCCCUUACACUUUGUUAAUCAAGUUCUGAAUAAUGUCUGCAUUUUGCAUGUAUAAUCAGCAAGAAUUUACAAGUUCAUUCCCGCAAUUUGCAAAUCACUUUCAUCAGAUCUACGAGUUUUCAACAUUUCUCCUAACCCUUAUACUUACAUGUACAUUUGCACUAUUUGCUCAAUUAGUUACACAAAUAAGUACUAAUCGUACUACACAAUUAUAUAUUUUACAAAAUACCCUCAAGAAAAAGACUUUUUAUAAUAAAUUUAUUGAUAUAUUUUUCUUAAAUUUGUGUGUAUGAAUUUAUUUUAAUAUAUUUAACCCUUUCCCCCAUAGAAAAAUCCUGGUUACACCACUACGUUUAAUUAUUAUCGUGCACACGCGCAUUGUACAAAACUUUCGUACACGAUACACGUGCAAUAUUAUCGAGCGAAACACUGCAGUAACAACUGACAAUACACCUAUACGUACUUAUAAAUACGUGUUCAAUAAGCUAAUAUCAAGACUCAAUAGGUGUGAUUUUGAUUUACAUACAGUAUAAUAAUAUAACAUACAGGGUGAUCAAUAUUAAGUAAAACAUUCAUUAACUCGGUAGAUAAUAAUUUUUUUGUCAUAAUUUGUUUUUUGGAAAUUUAUGAAAUUAGAAGAAAAUGACCGUUAUUUUUUAGUCAUGAUAUUUUUAAUUUCCAUCAACUCGUUAACGAGAUAUUUUACUUUUAAAUUUGUAUAUUGUGGGGGGGGAUAUUAGUGGAAUACAAUUUAUGUGACGGUGCAAUGUUGGAAUAAAAUUUCAUUACUUUUCCUCUAUACGCACGAAAUUUCAAAUGUAAAAAUGGAAUAUCUCAUUAACGAGAUGAUGGAAAUUAAAAACUUCAAUACCGAAAUUCAUUUAAAUUAACACUUCAUCCAUCUAUAUGGCAUUUAUAAUUUUAUAAUAUACAAUGCAAUUUUAAAACCAAAAUCAGAUAGUGAUUUAAGUGGUUUCACCCCUCCCCACCCCCCAAAAAAAGACGGAAAUUUAAAAUUUUAGAGGUGCUUAGUUCUUCAACUGUUUAAAAAACAAAUUCCGAUAAAAGAUUAAUAUUUCCUGAGAUGUCUUACGUUCUAUUAAUCACUCUGUAUAGUUAUAGUAACGACCUUGACGACGACGCGACGACGACGUUUCCCGUUAACAUAAUAUAUAAGUGUGUUUGGAUUUUUGCUUUGCAGUAGAAUCGGUAAAUAAAUUUAACGAUAAGGUGAUUAAAAUUGUUUUUAGUUUUAAAUCAAUUCUUUAAUUCUUAUUGGUUGUAAAAUAAUAUUAACCUUCGUAUAGGAAACAUAAUACUGAAACAACGUGUUGAAAUACGGUUAAAUUACGGUUAAUCGUCUGUUUGAGGUCAUGUUCGGAGUUAUGUCCUCCAGCGACGUAAGUUGAGAGCCCCUCAUAGGAGCUGGGGGUUGGAGAUUUACAGUUUAUAGGAGGAAAAAUGUGUAAACGUACUCAAACUACUACAUUUUGGGAAAACCCAUUACGUUUUGAAAAUGAAUAAUGAGUUUGAAUUUCCAUUAAACGCCACACUCGCAAAAGUAUUGCGGGUAAUAGAAAUAGUUUCAUAUUUUAUAUAAUAAAAUUGUUUGUUGUAUUUAUACGCACACUAAGUACUAUUAAAUGUUCAACAGAUUCGAUUUUUCCCGAACGGCCAAUCGCGAAGAAAUAAAAAGCGUAUUUAUAGUGGUGCAAGUGUGCAAACCAGCCGCCCCUACCCUCCGGGCUAGUUUUGCCCUUACAUGUACCUAUAUUAUUUUUUUCAUUAAAUUGCGUUUAUGUUUCAGAUAUUUUGUCCGGUUACCGGCUACCCAUUAUACCUGGCACCUGCACAAUGCACAUAAAACAGAGUAUAUAUUUAAACAUGACAAACAUAUAAAAAUACCUAUAGUCGUAUAGUAAUGUAAUAAAGAAAAGGUAUAUGUUUUUGAGAGUCACAUUGGAAACCGCAGUGGUGUCAUUUUUCCGGGGGAAGAACAACUUAAACAUUUGCCCCGAUCCAAAGCUGGGCAAGUUCCUCGAUUUUUCUUUAAUUUUCUUUUUUAAAAUAACAAAUUACACUAUAUGUAUCUACCUACUUUUUAAAACACUAAAAAAUUAUCGACAGAGACAUAUUGAGGAUAUUUACAUUGUAGACUAUGCCACUGCAGGUAACAAGUUAGGUACUAUAGUAAUUAUAGUGUUAAGUUAGUGUAGUCUACUUUAAGUUUACUUUUUUUGUCAUACCUAUAAGCAUCUAUAAUACACAAAUAAUAUGUAGUGUAUAUUUAAAAAAUUGCCUACAGAAUAUAAAUAUUUUAAACAUAAUGUAGCUACACCUUGUAAAUGAAUUGUAAAAUGCUAAAAAAAAACUUACGAUCGAUUAGACAUAGCUAUUUCGUUAAGUGUUGUUAAAUCAAUCGAAAAAGUAAAAUAAUCGUUAAGAUAUAAAAAAAGUUGUCAAUCGGUAAAAAAAGUUCCCCAAGUAGUGAACUAAUUACUUAGCUUUGUAUUAUACUAUUAUCCAAUUUCAUCUCAGUUUAGCAUUUAGACUUGUUUCAAGUCAUAGUUUUAGAAUUUUAGAACUAGUAUAAAGGCAGCAAAACUUAAGUUUGCUUAGGUGUAUUUAAACGCUCGAGCCGGGCCUGAACGUAGGAUAUAUAGAGUAAUUUAAUUUAUAUUACUAUGUACCCAACGAUAAAUUAUUAUUAAUGAAAAACAAAGUAAAAACAUGUUUUAAAAUGUCGUUAAUUUUAGGAUUUCCAUACAAAUUUGAACUUAACACGCGAAUAAAAAAAAUUAUUAGACUGCGUUUUAAUUUUUUGUUUACCACCAAUUAGUAUAACUCACGGUAAAUUUUUGUAUAGGUAUUUUAUUCACUAUUCGAACAUAACGAGUGCUUCUCGCUAUUUUCCAAUAUAAAACCCUUAUUUAAUCCCGAGGAGUUGGUAAUAUUAUGAAAUUUUGCCCCAGUUUAGCAAAUACCGAACUGACG